ACCUAAAGUCUUGAGUUCAGUUUGGAACACAACUUCCCCGACCCACUCUAUUAAUUAAACUUUGGGACAUUGAAAUGGAGACUAGAGGAGGUGACUGUGAAAGUUUAUUGACUUCCCAACCUACAAAA
ensembl:snoRNA